rnacentral:rRNA from 1 species
AGUGAACGCUGGCGGUAGGCCUAACACAUGCAAGUCGAACGACCGCACAGUGAGAGCUUGCUCUUACGGGUGGCGAGUGGCGGACCGGUGCGGAAUACAUCGGAAUCUACUUGUUCGUGGGGGAUAACGCAGGGAAACUUACGCUAAUACCACAUACGACCUACGUGUGAAAGCAGGGGAUCUUCGGACCUUGCGCUAUUGAAUGAGCCGGUGUCGGGUUAGCUAGUUGGCGGGGUAAAGGCCGACCAAGGCGGUUAUGCGUAGCUGGUCUGAGAGGGAGAGUAGGUAGCUUGGAACGGAGGCAGGGUCGACACUUUUACGGGAGGAAGCAGUGGAAAAUAUUGGGGGAUGGGCGCAAGGGGGAUCCAGCCAUACCGGGUGAGGGAAGAAGGAGUCAUGGCUGUAGAAUCCUUUUGGUGGGAAAGAAAAGAAGUAGUUUAAUACCCCGCUGUUCUGACGGUACCCAGAGAAGAAGCACCGGCUAACUUCGUG